rnacentral:tRNA from 1 species
CGACGCGCUGGGGGAGCGGUCCGCCGCGCUCGUGGCCCGGCGCGACGCGCUGCGCGCGUUCACCGCGUCGCGUCGC